rnacentral:lncRNA from 1 species
UAAUUUCUAGUUUCUAAUUUUGAUUUUUAAUUUUUUUUUAUUUUGUCAGUUGAUAUUUUUUGUGAAUUUUCUCUUUUCUGGUUAUUUUUAAUUCAUUUUAAAAAGUUCUUGAUAUUCAAAAAAUACAAAAAUAUUUUCCUAACAUAUUUGAAUGAUGAUGAAACUAUGAAAAAUAUUCUCAUCAAUUUUUUAAUUGAUUUGAG